UCAAAAGAAUAGUCUUGUUACCCUUUCGAAUGAGACUCUUGAACUUUAGGGAAAUUACCUGCAUCAUUAUUAGGUGAACCUUUGGACUCUCUUGAUAAAUGAAUGGCUGAAAGUUCAAUAAAUGAGGCCACAUCU